rnacentral:rRNA from 1 species
UACGUAGGGGCAAGCGUUGUCCGGAAUUAUUGGGCGUAAAGCGCGCGCAGGCGGCUUCUUAAGUCAGGUGUGAAAGCCCACGGCUCAACCGUGGAGGGCCACUUGAAACUGGGAGGCUUGAGUGCAGGAGAGGAGAGCGGAAUUCCACGUGUAGCGGUGAAAUGCGUAGAGAUGUGGAGGAACACCCGUGGCGAAGGCGGCUCUCUGGCCUGUAACUGACGCUGAGGCGCGAAAGCGUGGGGAGCGAACAGGAUUAGAAACCCCGGGGU